rnacentral:miRNA from 1 species
UCCCACAGGCCCAGCUCAUAGC